rnacentral:lncRNA from 1 species
UUUUUUUUUUGGUCAAUUUUGUAAUAUUAAAGUUUAAAAAUUCCCCAAAUGAGUGGCCAUAUAUAUUCUUAUCCUUAUUCCGUGGCUCCAUUUAUACCUUAGCUCUUUUUUUUCUUUAUUCUUUUUUUCCUUUUUCAAUUAUUUUAUUCGUAGUCAAAUAAAAAAGUGCAUAAAAGUACUAUUUUUUUUUUAAAUUUCAUAUUUAAAGCAUGAAAGGAUAUAUCGAAAUUUUUGCAAAGAAAAUUUUUGAUUUGAUUUUGGAGAAGCAAAACAUAACAAUCAUAUUAGGAUGAAACGAGUAAUUAUAAUUAUAUACUUUUAUCUUCCUACUUAUUCCAUCCUGUAAGAAUUAGAAGCAAUGAGAUUUAGUUUAUGAGGAUCAAAAUGACGAAAUUUUACAUUUAUUUUGGAUAGAAAUUCAUCUAUUAUUGAGAAUAUAAUAAGAAGUUAUGAAAAGAAUUAUGAAUUCUCACUAACCAUGUAUCUCCGUUUAAAUUUAUCUCGAGCCAACAUUACACCAAUCAAAAACUUUCUAAGCAGUUGUACAUAUUUUAAAUCGUGUUCUAAUAAACAAGUCAAUAUUUUUAACUCUCAAAUAAUAUAACAUGCUAACAUUUUGUUUAGAAAAAAAAUGGAUGAAUAUUAUAGGGCAUUAAUAUAGUUCAUUCUAAGGACCUAAAAUCAUAAUGGAUGAUGUCAAAUUAAAGAAUAUUAUUGGACCAUAAGGUGGGGUUGCCAAAAUCAAAUCAAUUGACAAUUGACAGGGAAAUUAAUGAAUGCUUGACAUAUAUUGCUCCAUUUGUCACUUCCUUUGCUAUGAAACUAAGAUACUAUAUUGCUAAGUGUCAACAUCAGAAUAAAGAGUAGAAUUUUUUUUCUUUCUUUUUCCCUUUUAUGGAGAGGUUUGAAGUUUAAUCCUGAGAGAAUUGCUUGACAAUAAUAGAAAAAGUUGUUUGCUUGGAUAUAACACUACUACUUCCAAGAGAUUUGUUAAUAAUCCAUAAUUCUUUAGAUAUAACAAGACAUUAAAAUUCAAGAGAAAUUAUAUAUUCCAAAAUUGUCUUUAAAACAUGAUUAGAGUUGAGGUCGAAUGGUUGUAAAUUUGGCCUAAACCAAGAUUAAAUUAUAAGGAAUUUUUACACUAUCGGAUCACCUUUAUUUAUUAUAGUAGGUAAUUUUCAACCAUAUAAGGGAGCUUAGUGUAAAUAUCCUUUAAUUGACAUGCAAAACGGCGUAUAUAAGUUAAACUCUUACAUUAUUUAUUAAUACUCAUUACAUAAGUUUGGCACAUCUAAUUAGAAAUAGGCAUACAUUUGAAAGCACAUAUAGAAGAGAAGAAGCUGUACCAGUGCAUUCAUUAUACAAAAGAACUGACAGAUCAAAAAAGGUUCUUCUCCCCUUUGAAUAAUUUACAUUUAUCUAAUGGAACUUUGUUUUCCCACAGCACAAGAUAAGACCUACUUUGCUUUCCCCCAUAAUCUUUCAAAAGCAACAAUAGAAAUUGAAUUACAACAGGGUAGAUGAGAUGUUGACAAGAAUAUCAUCCCAAAUUAU